rnacentral:rRNA from 1 species
GAUGAACGCUGGCGGCGUGCCUAAUACAUGCAAGUCGAGCGAACAGAUGAGGAGCUUGCUCCUCUGACGUUAGCGGCGGACGGGUGAGUAACACGUGGAUAACCUACCUAUAAGACUGGGAUAACUUCGGGAAACCGGAGCUAAUACCGGAUAAUAUAUUGAACCGCAUGGUUCAAUAGUGAAAGACGGUUUUGCUGUCACUUAUAGAUGGAUCCGCGUCGCAUUAGCUAGUUGGUAAGGUAACGGCUUACCAAGGCCACGAUGCGUAGCCGACCUGAGAGGGUGGUCGGCCACAGUGGAACUGAGACACGGUCCAGACUCCUACGGGAGGCAGCAGUAGGGAAUCGUCCGCAAUGGGCGAAAGCCUGACGGAGCAACGCCGCGUGAGUGAUGAAGGUCUUCGGAUCGUAAAACUCUGUUAUUAGGGAAGAACAAAUGUGUAAGUAACUAUGCACGUCUUGACGGUACCGAAUCAGAAAGCCACGGCUAACUACGUG